rnacentral:rRNA from 1 species
GAGUUUGAUCAUGGCUCAGAUUGAACGCUGGCGGCAUGCUUUACACAUGCAAGUCGAACGGCAGCACGGGGGCAACCCUGGUGGCGAGUGGCGAACGGGUGAGUAAUGCAUCGGAACGUGCCCAGUAGUGGGGGAUAACGCGUCGAAAGAUGUGCUAAUACCGCAUAAGCACUACGGUGGAAAGCGGGGGACCGAAAGGCCUCGCGCUAUUGGAGCGGCCGAUGCCCGAUUAGCUAGUUGGUGAGGUAAUGGCUCACCAAGGCAACGAUCGGUAGCUGGUCUGAGAGGAUGAUCAGCCACACUGGGACUGAGACACGGCCCAGACUCCUACGGGAGGCAGCAGUGGGGAAUUUUGGACAAUGGGCGAAAGCCUGAUCCAGCCAUGCCGCGUGAGUGAAGAAGGCCUUCGGGUUGUAAAGCUCUUUCGGCCGGAACGAAAUCGCUCGGGCUAAUACCCCGGGUGGAUGACGGUACCGGAACAAGAAGCACCGGCUAACUACGUGCCAGCAGCCGCGGUAAUACGUAGGGUGCAGGCGUUAAUCGGAAUUACUGGGCGUAAAGCGUGCGCAGGCGGCUCUUUAAGUCAGAUGUGAAAUCCCCGAGCUUAACUUGGGAACUGCGUUUGAAACUGGAGAGCUAGAGUGCGGUAGAGGGGGGUGGAAUUCCACGUGUAGCAGUGAAAUGCGUAGAUAUGUGGAGGAACACCGAUGGCGAAGGCAGCCCCCUGGGCCUGCACUGACGCUCAUGCACGAAAGCGUGGGUAGCAAACAGGAUUAGAUACCCUGGUAGUCCACGCCCUAAACUAUGUCGACUGGUUGUUGGGGGAAAUUGUCCCUCAGUAACGUAGCUAACGCGUGAAGUCGACCGCCUGGGGAGUACGGUCGCAAGAUUAAAACUCAAAGGAAUUGACGGGAACCCGCACAAGCGGUGGAUUAUGUGGAUUAAUUCGAUGCAACGCGAAGAACCUUACCUACC